CACGUGGUUAGCCGUGGCUUUCUGAUUAGGUACCGUCAAGACGUGCACAGUUACUUACACAUUUGUUCUUCCCUAAUAACAGAGUUUUACGAUCCGAAGACCUUCAUCACUCACGCGGCGUUGCUCCGUCAGGCUUUCGCCCAUUGCGGAAGAUUCCCUACUGCUGCCUCCCGUAGGAGUCUGGACCGUGUCUCAGUUCCAGUGUGGCCGAUCACCCUCUCAGGUCGGCUACGUAUCGUUGCCUUGGUAAGCCAUUACCCCACCAACUAGCUAAUACGGCGCGGGUCCAUCUAUAAGUGAUAGCAAAACCAUCUUUCACUUUAGAACCAUGCGGUUCUAAAUAUUAUCCGGCAUUAGCCCCGGUUUCCCGGAGUUAUUCCAGUCUUAUAGGUAGGUUACCCACGUGUUACUCACCCGUCCGCCGCUAACGUCAAAGGAGCAAGCUCCUUAUCUGUUCGCUCGACUUGCAUGUAUUAGGCACGCCGCCAGCGUUCAUCCUGAGCCAGGAUCAAACU
rnacentral:rRNA from 1 species